rnacentral:rRNA from 1 species
GGGCCCGCACAAGCAGUGGAGUAUGUGGUUUAAUUCGAAGCAACGCGAAAAACCUUACCAGGGCUUGACAUAUACAGGAAUAUUUAAGAGAUUAAAUAGCUCUUCGGAGCCUGUAUACAGGUGGUGCAUGGUUGUCGUCAGCUCGUGUCGUGAGAUGUUAGGUUAAGUCCUGCAACGAGCGCAACCCCUAUGAUUAGUUACCAGCGAGUAAUGUCGGGAACUCUAAUCAGACUGCCGGUGAUAAAUCGGAGGAAGGUGGGGAUGACGUCAAAUCAUCAUGCCCUUUAUGUCCUGGGCUACACACGUACUACAAUGGCUGUAACAGAGGGAAGCAAAGCAGUGAUGCUAAGCGGAACCCAAAAAGCAGUCUCAAUUCGGAUUGAAGGCUGAAAUUCGCCUUCAUGAAGCUGGAAUUGCUAGUAAUGGCAGGUCAGCAUACUGCCGUGAAUACGUUCCCGGGCCUU